rnacentral:rRNA from 1 species
UUGAUUCUUGGGUCCAGGACGAACGGUGGCGGCAAUGCUUAUUACAUGCAAGUCGAGGGAACUGACGGAGGAACUUGUUCCUCUUGACGUGAGCGGCGGACGGGUGAGUAACACGUGGGAAACCUACCUUUCAGCGGGGGAUAACGUUCGGAAACGGACGCUAAUACCGCAUAACGUUAACAAUCGCAUGAUUGUUAAAUAAAAGACGGCUCUGCUGUCACUGAAAGAUGGACCCGCGGUGCAUUAGUUAGUUGGUAAGGUAACGGCUUACCAAGACGAUGAUGCAUAGCCGACCUGAGAGGGUGAUCGGCCACACUGGGACUGAGACACGGCCCAGACUCCUACGGGAGGCAGCAGUAGGGAAUCUUCCGCAAUGGACGCAAGUCUGACGGAGCAAUGCCGCGUGUAUGAAGAAGGUCUCCGGAUCGUAAAGUACUGUUAUCAGCCAAGAACAAUUCACAGAGUAACUGUUGUGGAUCUGACGGUAACUGAUCAGAAAGCCACGGCUAACUACGUGCCAGCAGCCGCGGUAAUACGUAGGUGGCAAGCGUUGUCCGGAUUUAUUGGGCGUAAAGGGAGCGCAGGCGGUGACUUAAGUCUGAUGUGAAAGCCCACGGCUCAACCGUGGAAGGUCAUUGGAAACUGGGUCACUUGAAUGGAGCAGAGGAGAACGGAAUUCCAUGUGUAGCAGUGAAAUGCGUAGAUAUAUGGAGGAACACCAGUGGCGAAGGCGGUUCUCUGGGCUCACAUUGACGCUGAGGCUCGAAAGCGUGGGGAGCGAACAGGAUUAGAUACCCUGGUAGUCCACGCCGUAAACGAUGAGUGCUAAGUGUUGGGGGGCUUCCACCCCUCAGUGCUGGCGUAACGCAAUAA